UUGAACGCUGGCGGCAUGCCUUACACAUGCAAGUCGAACGGCAGCACGGGAGCAAUCCUGGUGGCGAGUGGCGAACGGGUGAGUAAUAUAUCGGAACGUGCCCGGUCGUGGGGGAUAACGUAGCGAAAGCUACGCUAAUACCGCAUACGAUCUACGGAUGAAAGCGGGGAUCGCAAGACCUCGCGCGAUUGGAGCGGCCGAUAUCAGAUUAGGUAGUUGGUGAGGUAAAGGCUCACCAAGCCGACGAUCUGUAGCUGGUCUGAGAGGACGACCAGCCACACUGGGACUGAGACACGGCCCAGACUCCUACGGGAGGCAGCAGUGGGGAAUUUUGGACAAUGGGCGCAAGCCUGAUCCAGCAAUGCCGCGUGCAGGAUGAAGGCCUUCGGGUUGUAAACUGCUUUUGUACGGAACGAAACGGUGAGCUCUAAUACAGUUUGCUAAUGACGGUACCGUAAGAAUAAGCACCGGCUAACUACGUG
rnacentral:rRNA from 1 species